UACGUAGGGGGCAAGCGUUGUCCGGAUUUAUUGGGCGUAAAGAGCGUGUAGGCGGCCGUACAGGUCAGCUGUGAAAACUCGAAGCUCAACCUCGAGACGUCGGUUGAAACCGUACGGCUAGAGUCCGGAAGAGGAGAGUGGAAUUCCCGGUGUAGCGGUGAAAUGCGCAGAUAUCGGGAAGAACACCCGUGGCGAAGGCGGCUCUCUGGGACGGUACUGACGCUGAGACGCGAAAAGCGUGGGGAGCGAACAGG
rnacentral:rRNA from 1 species